ACAGUUGAACCAGAACAAGUGAGUGAACAGGCUGAAUCAUCAUCACUCAAAAUGAAGCAGAAACUGGAGCCACCAACUCCAGAAAAACCAAACUGAGGUUUAUCCAAGCGUUUUGGCAACUACUUUUGAAUACUGUACUGUACAGAAAAGGAAAUACAAAGCUUGCUCACUUUUGGAUUUCUCCAUAAAUGCAUCAGUUCCUCACCCACUUUGUACAGUUUUGGCUAUGACACAAAGGUCAGCAAACUUUAUUGCUAAGACUUCUCCAUAUGAUCACCUUCUCAAACAACAACUAAAUACUUCACUUUUUUUGUUAGUACUAUUUUUAUAAAUACGUAAUAUAUAAAAAGUUAUCUUAGAUUAAUUAAUUAAAUGUGAAAAGAGAGUAGUUUGUUGUACUUUCCACAUAGUUUUUCUGACCCUUGUACUUGUAUGUGUUUGUAUUCUGAACCUUUCUACUUACCUCUUUGUCAACUGAACCCUUUAACUCAAUAAAAUUCACCAUCUUAAACUCUUUUGACCAUUGACCAAACUUAUGUGGCAACUUAAUUGUUGAGUUGGCAUAAGUACGUGAUUUCACGCAAAAAAGGAGCGUGAAAAUAAAAAUUUAGACUAA